UGCCGCCGAAUUAGUCUGAGCGAUGCCUACACUGAGAAAAUGAGAAAACGCUCAGUGAGAGCUCCUGCUUGGGAGAUCACAUGAUGAGAAGUUAAAAGUUGAGAAUCCACAGCACUUAUUUGACUGAAGUGGCACCUAUCUAUCAUUAAGAAUAUGUACUUUGGCUCAUUGGCACCCUGGAGCACUGUUUCUACCCUACGCGCUGACGGGGAAGAAAGACCAUAAAAUGCUCUCUGAAUCCAUAAGGACAACUCCGUUGGCACAGAUGGGAAUUUUGCUCCGAAGUGACAGCACUGCUUUCCUGGAACAUGAACUAAUAACCGCAAAGAGUUUCUUUGGAAACACCAUAUUUUAGCCUUGACCCAUCUUUA